GGUCAGUUGACAACCAGGAGCCGUACACCUUAACCUCAGAGGCCAGGACAUCCAGGGGCAGUGUGAACACGCACUUGUUUAAAUGGGACGCAAGACGGACUAUAGAGGGCCACCCCCUUGCCAGACAACCAAGUGCUGUCCCUGUCCACGGCCAGUGUGAGAAGGACUCUCACUAAAUCAACCCACACAAAGCUGCUGGACCAGACAAUAUACCUGGACGCGUGCUCAGAGCCCGUGCUGACCAGCUGACUGAUGUCCUAGCAGGCAUCUUUAACAUCUCCCUGAGUCAAGCGGUUGUGCCACAGUGCUUUAAAACCACCACCAUCAUACCUGUCCCCAGACCUUCCCAAAGCCUAAUUACACAAUGAUUGCCUGAGCCUAUUCUUGUUAAAUGAUGAAAAACUCAAAGGCACGUUUGGGCAGUGGAUCUGUGUGAAAUCAGCAGCUUGCAAAACUAAAUCAAAAUGUGUGCUAUUGAUUCUAAAAAUAGAAAUCACAAUAAAGUUCAACAUUUACUAAAACCGCCAUUCAGUCAUCUGAGAAUCUUUCCUCAUGAAAUUAUAACGGUUAGAUGAAUGUAUAUGCAGUGAUUUACUGAUCAAUGAUAAAAGGGGAGAUUUAUGCAAUAACGAAGACUGUCAUGAAAAGUAUUUGGCAUCUGAUCUCCUGUAACCUGCGGAGCUAAGCUGUUUUACCAGCUCUGCUCUCUGAUUUUUCUUUUAUGAAAAAACACAAGUUGUCAAAGUUAUUUGUUUGCAAAUGUAUUUCAGAAAUAUCGACAUACUUUUUUUAAUCAGCAGAAACUUUAUGUCAGUAGUGCAAAAACCUGCACUGAUCUGACCUCAUUUCUUCCUCAUCCUGAUUCCUGACCUGGGAAGGGAGAGAAAUAUUUGUUUUUGUUUGUCUUCUUGUUUUAUUUAAUUCCUUGUGGGAUUUGGAUCCAACACGUAAAGUAUGCAUAUUAUGCACACACACAAACACACAUGCAGCUAUUACCCAUUUCUUGUAUUCUUGAAUAAAGACA
ensembl:lncRNA